UGGGGAAUAUUGGACAAUGGGCGCAAGCCUGAUCCAGCCAUGCCGCGUGAGUGAUGACGGCCUUAGGGUUGUAAAGCUCUUUCGCUCGGGACGAUAAUGACGGUACCGAGAUAAGAAGCCCCGGCUAACUUCGUGCCGGCAGCCGCGGUAAUACGAAGGGGGCUAGCGUUGUUCGGAAUUACUGGGCGUAAAGCGCGUGUAGGCGGGUCUUUAAGUCAGGGGUGAAAUGCCAAGGCUCAACCUUGGGACUGCCUUUGAUACUGGAGAUCUUGAGUCCGGGAGAGGUGAGUGGAAUUGCGAGUGUAGAGGUGAAAUUCGUAGAUAUUCGCAAGAACACCAGUGGCGAAGGCGGCUCACUGGCCCGGAACUGACGCUGAGACGCGAAAGCGUGGGGAGCAAACAGGAUUAGAUACCCUGUAGUCCACGCUGUAAACGAUGGAUGCUAGCCGUUGGGGAGCUUGCUCUUCAGUGGCGCAGCUAACGCUUUAAGCAUCCCGCCUGGGGAGUACGGUCGCAAGAUUA
rnacentral:rRNA from 1 species